rnacentral:rRNA from 1 species
AGCGAACGCUGGCGGCGUGCUUAACACAUGCAAGUCGAGGGAGAACGGUUGGCUUCGGCCUUCCUAGUAAACCGGCGCACGGGUGAGUAACACGUAGGUAACCUACCUUCGAGACUGGGAUAACCCAUCGAAAGAUGAGCUAAUACCAGAUAUGACCACGGGAGUUUCGGCUUCCGCGGUGAAAGAUGGCCUCUGCUUGCAAGCUAUCACUCGAGGAUGGGCCUGCGCGCCAUUAGCUAGUUGGUGGGGUAACGGCCCACCAAGGCUACGAUGGCUAGUUGGUCUGAGAGGAUGACCAGCCACACUGGGACUGAGACACGGCCCAGACUCCUACGGGAGGCAGCAGUGGGGAAUAUUGCGCAAUGGGCGAAAGCCUGAUCCAGCGACGCCGCGUGGGUG